UGCUCUGAUGAAUUCCAAAUAUUUCGCUGUGUUCUUACUGAGAGUAACAUCAUUGACGAUACUUAUUCAACUUCAUCACCUUGGAGAUCUGAUCC
rnacentral:snoRNA from 1 species